GUCCUAAGCAUCCCAGAAACGACACCGAAAGUCAUAAAGUCAAACAUAACUUUUAAAAACACCAGUAUAGGGUCAUAAGGCCACGAUGGUCAAAAAUUACAUUUCCGCAAAAUGACAUCACUUCCGGUUUCGGGAAGGUCAUGGCGGACAUGCGACAGUUCACGCUGAUGGACGUAGGAAGUGUUUUGAACAGCUGAUCGGAUCGGCAAAGCGUUUUUCUGGAAUAUUAUGUUUUUGUUAGGGAUGCAACGAUACCAAUUUUUUCAAACCGAUCCGAUACCGAUACUUGGAUCUGAGUACUUGCCGAUACCGAGUACAAAAACUGAUACUUCUACCACACACAAGUUAAACUUAACCAGUAAUAAAGAAACGACCCCAGACAACUCUUUAACCCAAACGAAACGUUUACUGAACGUAAGGGCAGAGACAAAUACUUUACAACACAUCCCUUUUUUAAACUCAAAUGAUAUUCCAAUUCCUUAACCAAAUGAAAUACACUGUAUAAAUGACAUAAUUCCCUUUCAAAUUAUAUUAAACAACCCAAGUUAUGUUAUCACCUUUUGGUAAAUUUCUGCCCAUACCCAAGUGUCCACCAAUGUACUCUAAUGCAUGCCUUUAAUUACCUCUAUAGCUGAAAAGAGUCUGUAUCCAUAAUUUGUGGAUCUGCUGAUUUGUUUUUAAUGUGGCACUUUUUUUUCACGAACUGCAGAUGAUGAAAUCGUCUUUAUUUGAGAAAAUGUCCCUAAGCUAUCGUUGUUCAUACUUACUGAGUUCCCUAACCACUUCUUUACUAUGUCAGCAAACUUUCUGAACAGGAAAGGUAUCAUAGAUUUAAAGACACAUCUUCAUUGAAGCAAAGGCAAAAAAUUGGAAUGAAUUUUAUGUUCAUAUUAAAGAGUGAAAAUCCAAAAUCUGCUGCAAUCUUUUGUAUUAAUGAUCUCUCUCUCUCUGUGUGUGUGUGUGUGUGUGAGUGAGUGAGUGAGUGUGUGUGUAUAAUGCUGCGUGUGUGCGUGUGUGUGUACAGGAGAAAGGUGAUGGCAGGAGCUUUUUUUAAUGCAUUUCGAAUCAACUUUUGUUUUGUUUUACAAGAAGUGUAUUUCAUACAUUGGAACAAAUGUAAUCUUUUCUAUACUUUAUAACUAUGAAACUCUAAAGAUUUUAAGUUCAUGCACAUUGUGAAACAAGAAUCUAAAUCUUUCUGUCACAAUGAUUUCUAUAAACCGUGUUGUUUAUGGGGAUAAUGUGAAAAAUCCUUUGUGGGCUGUAAUAAUGAUCAGUGGUGAUUGAAGAGGAAGCUUGAACCCUGGCUCUGGACAUUUUCAUGACAAGUGACAGUGCAGACAUUUGUUAAUGAGAGAAUAUGUUUUAUCAUCAUAACGACUGCGAAUUUAAGCAUCGUUAAAGUGUCACUUCAGCAAUGCUGCCAGGAGAAAGAAGUGUUGACUCGUGUUUUUUAAUAGAAGACUUAAAACACUAAACUCUAAUUUCUGGGGUUUAUGUUAAGUUUACAGAAUAUAACAUCUGGUAUGACAGUGAGUUUUACUUCUCACUGUCUGUGUUAU
ensembl:lncRNA